rnacentral:rRNA from 1 species
GACGAACGCUGGCGGCGUGCCUAAUACAUGCAAGUUGAGCGCUGAAGGUUGGUACUUGUACCAACUGGAUGAGCAGCGAACGGGUGAGUAACGCGUGGGGAAUCUGCCUUUGAGCGGGGGACAACAUUUGGAAACGAAUGCUAAUACCGCAUAAAAACUUUAAACACAAGUUUUAAGUUUGAAAGAUGCAAUUGCAUCACUCAAAGAUGAUCCCGCGUUGUAUUAGCUAGAUGGUGAGGUAAAGGCUCACCAAGGCGAUGAGACAUAGCCGAGCUGAGAGGGUGAGCGGCCACAGUGGGACUGAGACACGGCCCAAACUCCUACGGGAGGCAGCAGUAGGGAAUCUUCGGCAAUGGACGAAAGUCUGACCGAGCAACGCCGCGUGAGUGAAGAAGGGUUUCGGAUCGUAAAACUCUGUUGGUAGAGAAGAACGUUGGUGAGAGUGGAAAGCUCAUCAAGUGACGGUAACUACCCAGAAAGGGACGGCUAACUACGUG